rnacentral:tRNA from 1 species
AUCAGAAUGGCCGACCGGUCUAAGGCGCUGCGUUCAGGUCUAAGGCGCUGCCUUCAGGUCGCAGUCUACAUUGGAGGUGUGGGUUCAAAUCCCACUUCUGACA